GAUGAAGAACGUAGCGAAAUGCGAUAAGUAAUGCGAAUUGCAGAUUUCAGUGAGUCAUCGAAUCUUUGAACGCACAUUGCGCCCGCCAGUAUUCUGGCGGGCAUGCCUGUUCGAGCGUCAUUUCAACCAUCAAGCCCCCGGGCUUGCGUUGGGGCCCUGCGGCUGCCGCAGGCCCCGAAAAGCAGUGGCGGGCUCGCUGUCACACCGAGCGCAGUAGCGAUUCUCGCUCCGGGCGUCGGCGGCGGGCACCGGCCGUGAAAACCCCCCACAUCCACAAGGUUGACCUCGGAUCAGGUAGGAAUACCCGCUGAACUUAAGCAUAUCAAUAAGCGGAGGA
rnacentral:misc_RNA from 1 species